ACACAGAGGUGGCGAGCGUUGUUCGGAUUUACUGGGCGUAAAGCGCGCGUAGGCGGCUUAGUAAGUCGGAUGUGAAAUCCCCGGGCUCAACCUGGGAAUUGCGUUCGAUACUGCUGAGCUAGAGUAUGGCAGAGGGAAGUGGAAUUCCGGGUGUAGCGGUGAAAUGCGUAGAUAUCCGGAGGAACACCAGUGGCGAAGGCGACUUCCUGGGCCAAUACUGACGCUGAGGUGCGAAAGCGUGGGGAGCAAACAGGAUUAGAAACCCCGGUAGUCC
rnacentral:rRNA from 1 species